rnacentral:rRNA from 1 species
AUUGAACGCUGGCGGAAUGCUUUACACAUGCAAGUCGAACGGUAGAGGGGGCAACCCCUUGAGAGUGGCGAACGGGUGAGUAAUGUAUCGGAACGUGCCCAGUCGUGGGGGAUAACGUAGUGAAAAUUACGCUAAUACCGCAUACGAUCUAUGGAUGAAAGCGGGGGAUCACAAGACCUCGCGCGAUUGGAGCGGCCGAUAUCAGAUUAGGUAGUUGGUGGGGUAAAGGCUCACCAAGCCAACGAUCUGUAGCUGGUCUGAGAGGACGACCAGCCACACUGGAACUGAGACACGGUCCAGACUCCUACGGGAGGCAGCAGUGGGGAAUUUUGGACAAUGGACGCAAGUCUGAUCCAGCCAUUCCGCGUGCAGGACGAAGGCCUUCGGGUUGUAAACUGCUUUUGUACGGAACGAAAAAGCUCUUAUUAAUACUAGGAGUCCAUGACGGUACCGUAAGAAUAAGCACCGGCUAACUACGUGCCAGCCGCCGCCGUAA